UUGCUCAGAAUGGUUGGAAAUCAUUCGUAGCGUGUAAAGGCAUAAGCAAGCUUGACUGCGAGAGCUACAACUCGAGCAGGUACGAAAGUAGGACUUAGUGAUCCGGUGGUUCCGCAUGGAAGGGCCAUCGCUCAACGGAUAAAAGCUACCCUGGGGAUAACAGGCUCAUCUCCCCCAAGAGUCCACAUCGACGGGGAGGUUUGGCACCUCGAUGUCGGCUCAUCGCAUCCUGGGGCUGUAGUCGGUCCCAAGGGUUGGGCUGUUCGCCCAUUAAAGCGGUACGCGAGCUGGGUUCAGAACGUCGUGAGACAGUUCGGUCCCUAUCCGUCGCGGGCGCAGGAAAUUUGAGAGGAGCUGUCCUUAGUACGAGAGGACCGGGAUGGACAUACCGCUGGUGUACCAGUUGUUCCGCCAGGAGCAUUGCUGGGUAGCUAUGUAUGGAUGAGAUAAACGCUGAAAGCAUCUAAGUGUGAAACUCGCCUCGAGAUGAGAUUUCCCAUCUAUUUAAUAGAGUAAGACCCCUUAGAGAUGAUGAGGUAGAUAGGCUAGAAGUGGAAGUUGAGUGAUCAAUGGAGCGGACUAGUACUAAUAGGUCGAGGACUUAACCAAA
rnacentral:rRNA from 1 species